rnacentral:rRNA from 1 species
AACGAACGCUGGCGGGCGUCUUACCCAUGCAAGUCGAGCGGCAGGCGCAAUGCCGAGAGCGGCGAUGGUGAGUAACACGUGGAUAACGUACCCCGCUGACCGGGACAGCCUGUAGAAAUAGAGGGUGAUACCGGAUAGAUCACUGUUUGCGAUAGGUAGACAGCGGGAAAGGAGCUUCGGCUCCGCAACGGGAUCGGUCUGCGGCCCAUCAGCUGGACGGCGGGGUAACGGCCCGCCGUGGCGAGGACGGGUAUCCGGCCUGAGAGGGCGGACGGACACAUUGGGACUGAGAUACGGCCCAGACUCCUACGGGAGGCAGCAGGUAAGAAUAUCCGCAAUGGGGGAAACCCUGACGGAGCGACGCCGCGUGAACGAAGAAGGCCGGAAGGUUUAAAGUUCUUUUCUGUCCGAGGAAUAAGUGUUGGAGGAAAUGCCGACACGGUGACGGUAGGGCAGGAAUA